AGGCUAGAGCAAUGGCUUACUAGCUAAUUGGGUCAGGUCCGGAAGGAAGCAGCCCCGUGUUAGUUUAGCCAUGUGCUUGAUUAAAAU
rnacentral:SRP_RNA from 1 species